rnacentral:tRNA from 1 species
GCGAGGGUAGCCAAGCUCGGUCAAAGGCGACAGACUCAAGAUCUGUUCUCGAAGGAGUCCCCCGGUUCAAAUCCGGGCCCUCGCA